rnacentral:lncRNA from 1 species
GGAAUGGAAUGUUGGUCAGCUGUAGGCUCCAUUUUACAAGAAACUGCCAAACUGUCUUCCAUUCUACACUUUUGUUUGCAAUGUAUGAAAGUUCUGGUUGCUUCCUAUCCUAAUCAACAUUUGGUGUGGGACUACAGGAACAUGCCACUACACCUGGUUGAUUAAAGAAAAUUUUUUGUAGAGACAGGGUUUUGCUCUAUUAUCCAGGCUGGUCUUGAAUUCCUGGCCUCAAGUGAUCCUCCCACCUCAGCCACUCAAAGCUCUAGGAUUACAGGUGUGAGUCGCCACGCCCGGCCAAAAUUUAUUAAUUGGUAGUUGGCAAUUGUUGAUGGAAAAGAAAAAGCAGGUUACAAGCAAUGU